rnacentral:rRNA from 1 species
AUUGAACGCUGGCGGCAGGCCUAACACAUGCAAGUCGAACGAGUGGCGGACGGGUGAGUAAUGUCUGGGAAACUGCCCGAUGGAGGGGGAUAAAUACUGGAAACGGUAGCUAAUACCGCAUACCAUCGGAUGUGCCCAGAUGGGAGUAGCUAGUAGGUGGGGUAACGGCUCACCUAGGCGACGAUCCCUAGCUGGUCUGCGAGGAUGACCGGCCACACUGGGACUGAGACACGGUCCAGACUCCUACGGAAGGCAGCAGUGGGGAACAUUGCGCAAUUGGCGCAAGCCUGAUCCAGCCAUGCCGCGUGUAUGAAGAAGGCCUUCGGGUCGUAAAGGACUUUCGGCGAGGAGGCGUUACUCGCAGAGGAAGCAACGGCUAACUCCGUGCCAGCAGCCGCGGUAAUUC